UUUUUCCGAAAUGUUUUUUAUAUGUUUUUUUAUAUGCGUUUUAGAAUCCGACCCUCAUGUAAAUCUUUGAACUCUAACUUAAAAUUAUGUACGUCUAAAUAACGAAUUAUCUCCAUUGCCUUUGCGAUGUUAAAUUUAUAUAGAUCAAAUCCUCCAUUUGCUACAUCCUAAGACGACGUGCCUGAAGAAGACCAACUUAUUGGUCGAAACGUAACGUAGCACCGAUUUAAAAAUUAAAUAAAUAUCUUUCAUCGUUCUCAAACAGUGGUUUUUUUGGAAAAAUUCACACCUAUAAUUAUACAUAUACGAUGAAUAUAGAGUCAACAUUAGCUAAA